rnacentral:rRNA from 1 species
GAUGAACGCUGGCGGCGUGCCUAAUACAUGCAAGUCGAGCGAACGGACGAGAAGCUUGCUUUUCUGAUGUUAGCGUCGGACGGGGGAGUAACACGUGGGUAACCUACCUAUAAGACUGGGGUAACUUCGGGAAACCGGAGCUAAUACCGGAUAAUAUUUUGAACAGCAUGGUUCAAAAGUUAAAGACGGUCUUGCUGUCACUUAUAGAUGGAUCCGCUCUGCAUUAGCUAGUUGGUAAGGUAACGGCUUACCAAGGCAACGAUGCAUAGCCGACCUGAGAGGGUGAUCGGCCACACUGGAACUGAGACACGGUCCAGACUCCUACGGGAGGCAGCAGUAGGGAAUCUUCCGCAAUGGGCGAAAGCCUGACGGAGCAACGCCGCGUGAGUGAUGAAGGUCUUCGGAUCGUAAAACUCUGUUAUUAGGGAAGAACAUAUGUGUAAGUAAAUGUGCACAUAUUGACGGUACCUAAUCAGAAAGCCCCGGCUAACUACGUG